AGCUCAAAGGAUCUGCCCACCUCGGCCUCCCAGAGUGCUAGGAUUACAGGCGUGAGCCACCACCGAGCCUGGCCCACCACAGUGAUUCUUAAGGAGAGUCGCAUGCAGAGGUCUUUGCUGGGGUCCUUCUCCCUCCCUCUCCAGUGGGGGCAGCAAGGAGAAGAAACUGUGGAACUUUUGCUGUGUUUCCAGGGUUGGCCGAUGGACAUUGAAUUAAUUCAUAGCUGUUCGAAAGUUAGAAAGUUCUGGAUCUUCAGGGAAAGACAAUGCUGGGGCUUUUUCGGGGGGGUGGGGUGGCGUGGGGAAACGAUGCUAAGAGACAAGCUUAUAAGAUAGGUGACCAUGUAAUUUAUUAUUCAAGCCGGGAUGAUUUUGAGAGCAAAAGGAGAUACUGUUGAAUAAUUACACUGGAAUAACAGGCACCAAUACAGAUGCCCUGGGCAAAGCAGGACAUAUAUUUAUCCUACUUCUAAGGCGAUCCUGCUAAGAGCCUCCUGCUCAGUGCUGGAAAGGAUAAAGUCAUUUGUGCCUCUGCUGGGCAGCACUGGCUUCAUUUGCAAGGUGGCAGCCUCACGCCUGUCCUCUGCAGCCACCGCUGUCUCUGGGUCUGCUGUCUGGUGAUAGAACAAUUGUACCUGCCUUUGCCUGCUGUGUCCCCUCUUUAGCCAGAGCCUGCGUCCCCAAGAGGUGCCAGCUGGCUCUGCCUUCGCAUCGGGGCUCGUUAUUUGAGUGAUGUUUUGCAGAAGCCUGAAAAACGGAAUCAGAAGCAGAGAGGCCAGCAAAGGCAGAAUGCCAAAAGAGGUGCGCAGCAUGGGCUGCUGAAUUGUCUUUUAGAUAAAUGUCUGUUGUUAGCACAGGGAAGAAUUGUAGAUAAUCAUUUAUUCUAAUAUCUCACCUAAUAUCCUCUCCCGCCACCUCAAUUUACUGUUGAGGAGAUAAAAUCCAAAGAGUAAAAUAAGGUCUCGAGUUUAUUGGUUUCUGCAAAUUUAUGUCUCUAGCCCACACUUCCUCCUUGGAUUCCAGACAUAUUCCACCGUCUCCUCAAUAUCUCUGCUCACAGAAAUAUCCAACUCAGCAUGUCCAAACGUGGCCUUGGCAUCUCUCCCCAAACCGGGUGCACCCACUGUCCUCCCCCCUCAGCCAGUGGCAAGUUCUCUCUCUCAGCUACACAGACCGGAAAUCUCGGUGUUAACCUUGACUCCUCACAACUUCUCCUUCUUCAUGUCAUACCUAAUAUGCUAGAAAAUUUUGUUCAGAAUCUAUCCGGAGUCUGACUGCUUCAUUGCAUUGCUGGUCCAAGCCACCAUCAUCUCUGACAUCUAUUGUCAUUGCCUCCUAACUGCUUCCCCUCCUACAGACCUUCCUACAGAUCCCUUUUCACUGAAUUGACUAGUUAAAUGGACCCUUCGAAAGCCUAUGUCAGGUCAUGUCAUUCUUCUUAAAAAUCCUGCAGUAGUUUUCAUCUCACUCAGUAAAAGCUUAAAUCCUUGCUCUGUCCUGCAAAUCUCUACACCAACAACACCCACCCCCAUUACCUGUUCUGUCUUUUCUUCUAAAAGGUGCUCCUUUGUUCACAAUAGACUGGCUUUCUUGCUGUUCUUCAAAUAAACCAGGUAUGCCUCUACCCCAGGACCUUUGCACUGGCUGUUUCUUAUGACUAGAGCACUCUUUUCCCCAAAUAAAGUUGGUUAAAUCCCUCUCUACCUUCAAGUCUUUGCUUAAAUGUGAGCUUCUGUUAAAACUGUUGCACCUCAUUCCAUUUUCCUGUUUUAGUUCUUUGUAUAACAUAUUUGACCUUCUUACAUACUCUAUAGUUUACUUCUUAUUUUCUGUUUAUUGUUGGUCUCCACUGAGUGCAAAUUACAGUCUCCAAAGGCAGGGGUUUGUGUGUUUUGUUCCCUGCUGUGAUAUCAACAAGUACUGGCAAGGUAAGAGUUCAUUAAAAUAUUUGCUGAAUGAAUGAAUUCAGUAGCUGUUCGCCCAAUGUCUUCCAUGUGUCAGAGGCAGGCUGGGUGUAUCAGGAUGAUUAUGGUAAAAUCCUUCCUCUUAAAGUGAGCCUGAGUAGGUGGGUUAGAGGCAUAGACAUCCCUGGCACAGUUAGUCAUGAUACACGACAGGGUAAGGAUGCAGUCCAUGGAGCUAUUGUUCUGCCACACGGGGGAGUGGAACUAAAGCAAGUGAUGUUUGCCCAGAGCAGUGGACGCUGGGGCUGGCUCUCGACAGGCUAGUGGAAUUUUACCAGGCAACACAGCAGGGUGACAGAGCUGUCCCUCACGUCUCAGUGAAUUUUCACUCUGCAUACUGAUGCAGGGGACAGUUUGGUCCCAGGGAAAAAAUGAAUAAGGGUUUAUUUGUGAUACCCACGUUAUUCAGACAGCACUUCCUUCAGGACGGCAGAAGGAUGGCCUGAUGGCCUCCCAGGACAUUUGAGCCCCAAAGUGAUUCAGUCCACUCACCUGCUGGUGAAAUGGAAAGCAAUUUCCUUUGAAAGCAACCCAGGCAGGUGAUCGUAUGGCACUACAGCCAUUGUACUGAGCACCAUCCCCUGGAAUUGCACAAUUCCAAUUUCCCUUAGGCUCUCAGGAAGCCCUGGUUUGGAAAAGGGCCUUUGGUUUGUGAUUUCUUAGGAUGAUCUAUUUUAAGUCAAAGAAUUGUCUGUGGUGGAAUUCAGCUGCUUUGGCUGAGCUCAGUUGCUUCUGGGGAGUAAAAGAACCACCAGAUAGAUGUUUGUUAAUUAUUUCCAUGACAUAACUGAAAGAGAGAGAGCAGGCAUUGGGCAGGUGCUGCUUUCUGGAUUGGGGGCCUCUGGGACCACAGGAUUUUUCUAGAUUUCAUUGUUGCUUGCCUGGGUAGGUCUGGCAGUUCUGGUGGUGGUGCGAGUGUACUGGUUUACUCUUUCUGUGUAACAAGUCACCUCUACAUUUAAGCCUGAAGCAACAUUUGAUCACUUCUUAUAGUCCUUUGAGUUGGCUGGGUUGAUCUUCUACCAGUUUUGUUGGGGCCACUCGUGGGACUACAUCCAGCUGGAGAGUCAGUGAGGCUGGAAGGCCCAGGAUGGCCUUCCUCACGGUCUGGCAGUUGGUGCUUUUGGCUAGGACUCUCUCUUGCUCCUUCACGUGGAUUCUUAUCUCCCAGUAGAGCAGCUUCCUUACAGAGACAUCACAGCAGGCUCCAAGAGGAUGACAGAGGAAGAUGCAAGACCCCUGGAGGACUAGACCCUUGGACACAUAUAAUUUCACUUCCACUAUUUUCUACUGGGCAAGGUAAGUCACAAGCCCAGCCCAGAAGCAAAGAUCAGAAUAGACUCAACCUCCGGAGCGGGGAAGCUACAGAGAUUCUGCAGCAAUAUUUAACCUGUCACAGUUUUCCAUGUCACCACAGUUGUUAAUAUCAGCUGCAAAUAACUGUCUCCCCCCAUCCCCCCGCCCCGGUCCCAAGACCUUCCGAUGUCUCAUCCAGUUAUAGGCUCAAGAUCCUGGAGCUUGUGAUCUGCGUCUGGUCUAGAUGCAGAUGAAACCUCUCCGAUGCAGCAGCUCUUCUUGGUCCAGAAACCUGUGAACUUAAAGCACCCGACAUUCAAGGGACAGGAACCUGAUGAUGCAAGACCCACUCCCAUUCAAAAAGGCAAGAGUGGGAAGAACGUAGGAGUUCUGAAAUCUAGCAAGGCACAUGCCUUCAGAGCUUUCUACCCACAAAGCAAGGAAUAUUUUUUGAUCAGGCCUGGCUCUGCUCCCAGGAAAUAGUUCCCUCAUCAAUUAUUUUCUUUGGUUCUUAAAUUCACCUUCUAGGUUCUCGGUUCUACUCUUUUAAUUCCUUUUUCUUUCCAUGAGAGAGGAUCUGUGUUUGGACCUCUCUCAGGCUGCUUCCGACCUAUAGGUUUUGGGGGCCAACAUCCUCUAUUUGUUUUAAACAAUUUCUGUUUCCUUUAGUUCAAGCUGCCACAAGUCCUUUGAAAACGUUUUGGGUUUUCUAUGUAUUAUUUCGUACUCCAUUAAACAAAAACCACAUCCACAGUUAUAUUCGAAAUAUGUUUCUCUCUACUGGGAUGGACUUUCAGGGUACCGACCUAUAGGUUUUGGGGGGUGAGAGGGUCUAUUAGAGACCACCUUAAGAGGGUCUUAUAACUAUACUCUUGAUUUGAUUGUGAUUCUGAGGUCAUUUUUUUCCCUUUGAGAAUCUUUUUCAUCUGUUUAAAAACUAGAAAUAUUUUGAAAAACAGCUUUAUUUACAAAUUCAACAUGUGCCAGGCCCUCCAUAUUUUUAAAAAAUUCUGCUCACAAACUGAACAGCGUCCUCUUAAUUCAUCUCUUUCUCUUAUACUUUAUCCUGUUCAGCUAGAAAAAGUCAAUCACCAUCUUCAACGUCCUGCCUUGUCAUCUCCUUAACCAGAUCCACAAGUUCAUGAGCACAUUUUAUGUCUUUCAAAUUGCUUCAGGCAAAGGUUUUCCAGUUCCCAAACUGGAGCUUGUCUCACCCCUUUUCCAGCCUCUCAAAAGGAGUGUCCCUAAUACAUUUCUAGUCUCCACUAAUAGUUUCCUUAAUCCUCUAUCAGCUUCUGCCCAUUGCCAAGUGCCAAAGCCAAUGCCACAUGUUUGACAUGUUUCUUUUCUUUUUUCAUAGCAGCACACACUUCCAGGUACAAAUUUUUAUGUCAGUUAACUAUGCAGUAUAAACAAAGUAAUGGAUUAAAAUAAAAAUGAUUUGCUAUUUUCACAUUCUGUCUGUUGGCAGGGUGAUUCCUCUGCUGGUCUCAACUGGGAUUGCUCAUGUAUCUGCAUUCAGCUGGUAGGCUGACUGGGGGCUGGGCUCAGCUAUGGUGGCUGGAACUUUCUCUGCAUGUGGUCUUUCAUCCUAAUUUCUUCACAGCAGGAGUCUUUUAGGCAUGAUGGUCUUAGGGCAGCAUUCCCAGAUGGCAAGCCCCAAUUCAUAAGCACUUUAACAAGCCUCUACUUACGUGCUGUUAACUUGGCCAAGACAAGUCCCAUGGACAAGCCCGGAGUCAGUGUAGGAGGGGACCACCCAGGCCAUGGAUCCUGGGAGGUGUGACUCAUUGGGCCAUGACUAUAACCAUCUUGCACAGAAAGAUAGAAAACAUCACCAACCAGAAAAGGCCUUCCUGACCCAGGUCCUCUGUCUCUUCUCUGUCUGUUGACCUCUCUGCAGUUCUAACCUGCAGUUCCUGCAUGUGCUGAUGACUAUGGGCACUAGACAACGUACCCAGGCAGCACCUAGCCCAGCAUGCAUAUCCUUAGCCCAUUGCCCUUGGAGAAGUUUUCAGGAAGGCAGGUUGUUCUUCCAACUCUGACUCUGGUCUUGAGUAUCCAGACCCAUUCUGUGCAGAUACCCUUCCCCCUUCCCUGGAGUCAUAUGUAACAUUCUUGGCACUAUAAAAAUGGAACGCCCACUGGUGUUUGCCUCAGAUACAUAAGAGCUCUGCAUCUAACAGGACAGCAUCCCUCCAUUUUUGUGCUCAGAUGAUCUCUCCAAGAGAGCAGGUCUGCUAUCUGUCCUAGCCAUCUCUAAGAUAGAGCCAAAUAGCUCUGCCUCCUGGCAUUCGCACCCUCCUGUAAUCCUCUCCCCCUAAGUGUAGGCGGGACGUAUUGACUUGCUCCUAACCAAUAGAAUAUGGCAGGAGUGAUGUGGUUAUUAAAGCUUCGGUUAUUAAAGAACUGUGGCUUCCAUCCUGGGCACCUUCUCACACUCUCUCUUGGGCUGCUUAUUGCUUACUCUGGCAGAACCCAGCUGUCAUGUUGCAAGGCAGCCGUGUGGAAAGACCCACAUCAUUGAGCUUCGAAGGUGACCUUCUGAGGCCUGCCCACCACCACGUGAGAGAGUGAGCUGAGAAGCUGGCCUUCCCCAAGCCAUCACUGAGAUGACCACAUCCCCGGCUGAUGCUCUGAUUGCAGCCUGUGAGGGACCCUGAGCCACAGCCACACACCUCGGAUGCUCCUGCACUCCCGACCCAUAGGAACGAUGCCAUCACUCAAAGCACCAGUCCUGCCAGUCCACUCUGCUCCUGCUCCCAGCCGUGGUCAGCUCCCAAGUAUAAUACAACACAUCCACAUUUAUGGAGCUCCCAGGAUAUAUCUCUUUCAAGCUGUUUUAAUCCAAGUUCCAAAGGUCAGCAGGAAAUGUCAGUGGUUUUUGCAAUGGAGAGAAAGGAUUUUGUGAUAAGGUUUAUGCUUUUACAGAAUUAUUAUAGAGUUUAUGUGCUAGGCUGGAGAAUUUACCUGUCAUAAUGGCCAUGGUAGCAAGUUCAUCCAUGGGAAGAAAUUUCCUGAUGAGAACUUUAUGCUGAGUCAUAUGAGUUUUGGGAUCUUACCCAUGACAAAUGAUGGAACCAACACAAAUGGUUACUGUUUUUUUUUUAUCUACAGUAUGAAUAAUGUAGAAUCUAUGGAAUGCUUUCGCUAUGGGAUUGCAAGACAACACAAAGAUCACCACUGCUAAGUGAGUAUCACAACCAGAUGACACAAGAUUGUCUUCAUUAAGGACAUGGAUGAUUUCUCACUGGCUAUUUCUCAGGUACAGUCCUCAAAGUUCAAUCCUGUUAUCGACACAUAAUUAAAAGAUACCCAUUCCGACCUCAGAGUAGAGGUGUCAUUUCUUCUCAUGGAUUUUCUUUAUUAUUUUUCAUGUUUCUCUGUAAUUCUUAGAGAUAAGUCUACAAUUCCAACAGAACAGGUCUUGUGAGAAAAGUACACAUGCCAGCUUGAUGUUUGUUAAGUGAGCUCAGAAGGGAAAUUAAUUAGGCCAAAGUUUAUGGUCAAGAUAUUUUGUGCUGCAAUUAAUUUCUCAUAGCUUUCAUUUCCUCUGUGGAAUUUUAGGAGCACAUGGUUAUUGGAGAACUCUGUUUGGAGUGGAUCAGGCUCUCUUAGGUCUCUUUAAUAUUUGCCAACCCUUCUACUUAACUUCAAAUGUCAUGCUUAAGCAUAUGUUCAGGCUUUACCCUGAGGCUUUGCUAGAAGGAAAAGCUCACAGACAAAGUAACAGGCAACUGCUUAUCUGUUAAGGUUGUCCAGGUUUAUAGCAGAGAGCAGAGAACAUAGGAUCUCUGAGUGGUGAUUUGACUUUAUUCCCAUUGGAAUAGGGGCAAUUAGCUCCUUACAAAUAGAAUGAAGCACUAAUUAAUGAUUGUAAACAUAAAAUGCUUCUCAUGAAAACUGUUACUUUAUGACUGUAAUUUUAAAGUUCAGCUGUUGCGGGGCUACUAUUUCGAAGACUACUAGACUACUAACUAGCUAGCUAUGUGAUCCUGGGUAAGUCAUAUAAAUGGCUUGAAUUUCAUUGAUAAAAUAAGAUGUGGAUUAUAUGUAUUUUUUUUCAAAUAUCUUACUUCUAAACACCACAAAAUUCAAAAUUUCAAUGUGCAUUGGGGGGGUCACAAUAUUUUAUUUUUCCCUGUGCUUUUGUCUUCAUGCAAAAUAUCUUGCUGAUGAGCAUAGAGUUCAAAAACGAAGACAUCUUUAUCCAUGUUCUGUCAAAUUUUAUACCUGUCAUAAUAUUUAGUUUUCUAUUUUCAAUUCCCUGUUGAAUUAAGGCCAGUUGGUGUGACUUAUGGGUUAAUAUUAAUACAAUGUGAGCAGAAUAAUAUAUACACCAUCUAGAAUUAAGAGUGAAUAAUGAUUCUUCAUUCUCUCUCUCUCCUUUUUGUGUGACUAGCCUGGGUCUCUGAGUGAAGAUGAUGUCGAGCAAAUACCUCCAACUACAAACAAUGAACAUGAAUCUUAAAAGAACAUUUGCUAUUCAAACCAUUGGGACCAGCAGAAUGUUUGUCACUGCAGCAACACCUAGCUUAUUCUGACUAGUAUAACUUCCUUCAUCUAUUUCAGGUAGAUUAUGGACAAGUAGCAUUUUUAGGAAUUUACUAAUUGUCACUUAGGUCAGAAUUGACAGAUAAAACAUGCCCUUGUUGCUGUAAUACCACCUAGGAGGGAACUUGGCUACUAUGGACCUUCAGUUUACUCAUCACUCAGCAAAGGCUUGUAAGUGAUCCAAACUAAUCCAACUGUUCGCCCCACCUGGCAUCAUUUCUCAUCUUCCUAUAAAAUAUUUAGUAAACAACAAAUAUCAGUCAAAAGUGAAUUAUAAAGGGCCACCUAUAUUCUUAAAAUAGAAGAGGUUGUUUAUACAAAUGAUUAUUAGACGCAAACCACUGUGCAGGUUGCAGAUGUUUUUGUUAUUGUUGUUGUUGUUUCCGUUGUUACAUGUGGAGUGGAAUAACAUUUGCUACGGUGAACUGAAUCAUUUUGAAGGGGAGAGAUCUGGCUCCAAUCCAAAUGUACCAAAAUGACACAUGCGUUCUCUGAAUUAGCUAUUUAAGAUAAUUCCCUUGAAAACAGGGCUUGCAAAAGCACACAGUAGAAGAAAGAAGAGAGUUUGUUCAAGUGUGCUAAUGGCUGCCUUACUGUUUUCCUUCUCCUGGGAUCCUUCCCUCUUCUGUUCUACGAGCUCUCCCUGUGUGUUCUCGCCCCUCCCUCAUUUUCUAAUAAAGGGACUCAGCAAAGGAAGAAGAAAGGAUUUCCUGGGGGGAUGUUGAGAGCAAGCAACAAAUGAGGCCCGCGUGCUGCACUGAACAGCAGGACCAGCCCCGGGGUGUUCGCUGUGGAUGUUCCAGGUGCUCUGAGGCGGUUUCAGGAGGGCAGCUUUCGGAAGAGGGAUAACCUGGGGAGCAGAGGGAGAGAGCCAGAAUUUUGGGGUACAAAAGCAGAUCUGAGGGCCAAAGGGAAAACCAAGUCAGAAAGCCAGAAGUGGUGUCAGGAGAGGCAGUCAACAGUAAGAAUGAGCGACAGGGACUCUGGAGACUCUCACAGACUGAUCGCUGCUUUCCUGCCAGCUUCGUUGCUCUACUACUGUAAGCUCUGCUGGGCUUGCUUCAGAAAUGUUGCUCAGUCCCUGUGGCAUCCAGCUGCCGUUUUGUGACCUUGAGGCUGAUCUCUAGCCUGGACUCCAGACCAGAAUCUCUAACUCUCCCCUCCCAGCCCAGCAGCUCCCCUUCCAUUGUGCUCUAUUCCAGCGAGUGGCUUCUCUGUCCCUUGGGACUGUAUUCCAGGCCAGCCCCUUGGGGUAAGCCUCCCUUUCUCGCUUUCCCUCACCCCCAUCAUCUACUCAGUUGCAAGUCCUGAUAUUCUUACUUGAGAAAUAUCCAGCCCAUGCAGACUUCCUCCCUGUCCCUGCUGUCUCUGGAGGGUUGUCCUGCCACAAGCUUUCCAUUUCUUCUGACACAGGAUGUCACAGUUGACCUCUUGGGGAGGAUGCUGGUGUGUUGGGAUCUCAGACAUGAUGGGAUGGGGAAACGGGAUUGUGUUGUUUGUUUGAUUUUUCCUUUUUUAAGAACCAAUGAGCCCCUGAGAAGUUAAUUUGCAGGGUUUGGGAAUUGAUAGGUAUGAAGAAACCUGCCAAUGUGGAAGUCCUUUCUGCCAGGUGCCUGGUCUGUCUCCUGGUGCCAGGGGCCAUCUUUCCUGCACUUCUGGGAGCCACCACAAGUAUCCUGCAUCUUGACAAUCCUGGCCCAAGGGAGUGAGACCCAGAGAGACACUGAGGAGUUCUUCUCCAAUAUCUGGCUGCUGCCUGAGAACCCUCUUCAGCCUGCAAUGGUUGAUGCCAGAAAUGACCAUGCAUUUCAAGGAAGACCCUGGCUCUAUCCCAUUGGAGUGUGGUCUUAUGGUACCUACCAGGUAGAUACCCUUCAAUAAAGUACAGUGCACCUAAUAUCUACAGAAGUGACACACAGAGAAGCCAGACAUGGAAGGCUGAGGUAGGAAAUUGGAUAAAAGGGGACAGCCCUGGAGCACUUAAUCUGAGACUACUAAGGGCCUGGCCUUAUAGAGACAGGGCAAUGGGUAUUUCCAAGCAGGUAUGAUACUCAUUCCCAUAAAGGGUAAAGCUAAACGUCUCAGAUCAACCUGAGAUAAUGACUAUAUUUGAGCAGGGAAGGAUAGAUUUUGGUAUAUUUCUCCCAAUGCCACAUACUUCAUCUAAUUUAAUCUUCACAAUAGCCUGUCAAUACAUCCAGAAGUAAAGAUGCAAAAAGAUUAGAUCAGUGGUUCUUGAACACUUUUAAAACUUACUGAGAAUCCUAAAGAGCUUUUGUUAUGUGGAUUAUUUCUAUCAAUAUUUAUCUUAUUAGAAAUUAAAACAGAAACAUUUAAAACACAAGAAUAUACAAGCACACAUUCCAUUGGCCAUCAAAAUGAUGACCACGUCACCGGUCUCAUGGGCUCUGGAAAACUCCAUUGCACACUCAUGACUGAAUGAGAGUGAAAAAGAUGAAGGACAUUGUAGUAUUCUUAUAAAAAUAGUUUUGACUUUGCAUAGCCCCAAAAAGAUCUCAGGGACCCUCAGGAAACCCUGCACCAUACUUUGAGAACCACAGGAUUAGAUAAUUUUCCGAGGUGACAUGGCUGGUCAGUGUGGAGCUGGUAUUAUAAUCCAGGACCAUCUGACACUAGACCAGAUGUUCUUUUACCCUUGUUGAAAACUCGACACUACAUAGGAAAGAAUCCAGGAACGCACUCUUACCUAAAUGCCUGAGAGAAGAACAAGCAGUAGAAACCCAUACAAUAGGCAGAAGUUGUCUCUACUGGAAUUUGGCAGAUUAAUUUGGCAUUUGGUUUAGGGGAUUAGCAAACGCACUUGCUUGGGCUUUCAAUGUGGUCCCUUUCCUAGGAUGGAGGUCCAUGGUGUCCUCACACACAGCCGAGGCCAUGUGGGCACGAGGGUGGUCUGCCUAGCAAAGACACCUGGGGCAACAUGAGACAGACUCUCCGCCAACAUCGUGCUACCGUUUUUGAUGCUAGCAGAAAAGCUGGGCUCAUGGCUCGACUGACUUCCUAAAAUCACAAAUUGCCAUCAGCCCCCGGCGCUGACUGAAGUACAGUAUCUCAAAUGAAAAGCAUUUAAAUUCAAUUUGACUGCUCUUUUUCUAAGAGCUUUCUGAAUUCACAGUGAAAAGCAGCAUCCAUCAACCCUGUGCCUCUGCCUCACCCUGCAGACCCAUAAGCCUAGUUCGUGUUUGCAUCGUGGAAUCCCAGUCCCUUGGGUGCGUAGAGGAGGAGCUGCAAACAGGAGCUCAUUUCUCGGGGCCAUCGUGGUGUCGGGUCAGCCAAAUGUCAGUCCUUAAGCUAUGACCCGGGUAGGAUGUUGCAGCCUUCACCUCAGGAAAGCACAGCUCCGUUUCAGGUCUGUUGGUGACACACUCCUCCAGAUUUAUUCUCUUUCACAGUGACUGUUGCCUGCCUUGUGCAGAGGAGAUGUUUACCAACAGCAUCCCGUUGGCUCAGUUCUUGAAUCCACGAAAGCCCCUUUCAGGAGUUGUCACGUAUAUCUGUAAGUGCCUGGAAAUCAAUGCUAUUUAGCCAGCGGGUGUGACCUUUCAGACACAGAGAUGAUUUCAAAGUGGCAUGCAAAAGAUACCAUUGAGCGAUUCCGGUACAACACUCAGGAUGUCCAAUGCUACUGUAAUCACCCUCUCUGACAAAAGAGGAGAAAAACACCAAAGCUUGGUUUGCUUCGGAGGCAGCUCUCAAAGCUGAAGCAGGGAAGCUGGCCUGAUCCACAAGCAGAGCGUGGAAUGCCCAGGGAUUACCCCUUUGUCAAGGCCACAUCCAAGUGACUUCAGCCUUCCUAGAGGAUAAGAACACCUGCGGUUAGGAGCAGCCAGGCAAAACCUUGAGCCUGAGAUCUUGGGUUCUUGCUUUGUGAUUCGAUCUGAGUAUAUCCUCUCUGAGAAUAUCCUCCACGUCUCCAUCCACAGAACAGGGCGAUUCCACCACAGUGGUUGCAAUUAUUUCCCUCCGAGACUCAGGACAAGGUUUUGAAACCUGAGAAGUGCUUCUCAUUUUUUAAAACCAUCCUUUCGAAAGCAAUAUACAUCUAUUUUUAUAAACUUAGA